rnacentral:rRNA from 1 species
AGUGAACGCUGGCGGUAGGCCUAACACAUGCAAGUCGAACGGCAGCACAGUAAGAGCUUGCUCUUACGGGUGGCGAGUGGCGGACGGGUGAGGAAUACAUCGGAAUCUACUUUUUCGUGGGGGAUAACGUAGGGAAACUUACGCUAAUGCCGCAUACGACCUACGGGUGAAAGCAGGGGAUCUUCGGACCUUGCGCGAAUGAAUGAGCCGAUGUCGGAUUAGCUAGUUGGCGGGGUAAAGGCCCACCAAGGCGACGAUCCGUAGCUGGUCUGAGAGGAUGAUCAGCCACACUGGAACUGAGACACGGUCCAGACUCCUACGGGAGGCAGCAGUGGGGAAUAUUGGACAAUGGGCGCAAGCCUGAUCCAGCCAUACCGCGUGGGUGAAGAAGGCCUUCGGGUUGUAAAGCCCUUUUGUUGGGAAAGAAAAGCAGCAGGUUAAUACCCCGCUGUUCUGACGGUACCCAAAGAAUAAGCACCGGCUAACUUCGUG